AACGAACGCUGGCGGCAUGCCUAACACAUGCAAGUCGAACGAGACCUUCGGGUCUAGUGGCGCACGGGUGCGUAACGCGGGGGAACCUGCCCUUAGGUUCGGAAUAACUCCCCGAAAGGGGUGCUAAUACCGGAUAAUUUCUUCGGACCAAAGAUUUAUCGCCUUUGGAUGGGCCCGCGUUGGAUUAGCUAGUUGGUAGGGUAAAAGCCUACCAAGGCGACGAUCCAUAGCUGGUCAGAGAGGAUGAUCAGCCACACUGGGACUGAGACACGGCCCAGACUCCUACGGGAGGCAGCAGUGGGGAAUAUUGGACAAUGGGCGAAAGCCUGAUCCAGCAAUGCCGCGUGAGUGAUGAAGGCCUUAGGGUUGUAAAGCUCUUUUACCCGGGAUGAUAAUGACAGUACCGGGAGAAUAAGCUCCGGCUAACUCCGUG
rnacentral:rRNA from 1 species